AUGGCGGAGGAACCGUCCGCCAAGCGUCACCAUGGCGACACUUCGAAUAAGAGCAACAGCCUUGCCGAUGUUCACAUCCCCGGCGAGAAGCAUGAGUACACCAGAACACUCAAAGGGGUUGAGAUCCACGACAAGGAGACGCUGGAGAUCGUUUGCACCAGCGAACCAGACAAGGCCGACCACAUGAUGAGCAGGCCCAAGCGCCUCAAAGACUUCCCGCAGGAGAAGAAAUUGUACACAUUUGUCGGUUUCAGCAUUGGAGGUGACAAGCGGAUGCUGGGGGAGUCUGGUUUGGAAAUCAACCCCAACAACUUCAUCGACAUGCAGCACAAGUGGAAAGAUCUAAAGACCAACAAAUACUAUGACUCCUUGGCCAGUGUUGCAGGCGGCGCAUCCACCCAUUCUACGAAGACAUGA
rnacentral:rRNA from 1 species